CUACCAAACAAGAGCCUGAGUUUGAGAGGAUUUAAACGACGGGGGCAGCCACUGAGGGGCAACUGCAUGGAGCCCAACAGAGACCUAGGAUCCUUUUCUCAGGACAAGAAGCAGGAGAGGGCUUGGCCCCACUCACCCACAGUCUCGGGAUCCCAGCCCCAGUCUGAGGGCGUAGAGAACAGGAGGGAAGGAUCUGGAGAAGAAUCGCAGUCCAUGAAAUCUGCAUCUCUUGAAAGAAAAACCCAGAAGGCCACCUCCCUAUCAAAGGCAGAAUGAACCCAGUUUGGAAACGUGUUUAAAAUGCACGGGGGAGUGGCAACCAUCCUAAAUUACCCCGCUAGCCCUCCCGAGAUGGGCAGGAGAGGCCGGCGGGUGGCCUGCUGAGCCUGGGAGGCAGAGACGGGGAGUGAAGCCACAUGGCCCCAUGGGGCCAUCCAGCACUGCAGAGGUCUCAGCAGCAUCCCGCCCCCGACAGGUGCCACGUGACCCCCAAGCUGAACACAGAGCACACACCCACAAGACUACAAAAUCUCCCAACAGCCUCAUUUCAUAGAACUGCAUUUCGCUGACUUCUGUAGGAUGCGUGGCCAGGGAACCCUUUGAGGGAAUCCUCGAGAAGGUGCCCUGAGUUUACAGAGUGGGCAAUGUCCCCUCAAGGACAAACUCUUCCGCUGACCCCCCCCCCCC
rnacentral:lncRNA from 1 species